GCCUAAUUCCUCAGUUUACGUUCCCUCUGUGUUUCACUUGAUCUGGAAAAACUGAUUUGGGGACAAUCUAUGACCCGUACAUAGCAAACAUUUGUUCUGAGAAAACAAAACACUUGUUUUGAAAAUAAAUAAAAGGCAAACAUCUGCUAUUUUUUCCCAUCAUUCUGAUUAGAGGUCAUCAAUUAAUUAAUUUCUGCAAAGAAAAACUAUCAAAAGACACUGUGCGGACUACUCCAAAAUGAGAAAAUACAACAGUGCACUAUUUCAAUCAACAACACACGCCCAAGACCAGCCUCGCCUUCCCAUUAAAAAAACCGCUUGUUGAUCUAUGAUUUUCGGUCCGGUAUUCCUUAUAAUUUGGGUGUGUAUAAGGUAAGUAGUACGAGAUAUAAAAAACACUUAAAUCUUAGUCAUGUGUAACUCAUACACACAAAAUUCAGUUGCACAUCACGAGUCUUAAUGUGCAACUAGUCCCAUAAAACAACUAAUUUCACAACAUGAGAGACCAUGUGCAACUAAAUUAAAAAAACUCACUUACACAUCACGAGUUUUAAUGUGCAACUAAUCCAAUAAAACAACUGAAUUGCACAACACGAAAGAUCAUGUGCAACUAAAUUAAAAAAAACUCACUUGCACAUCACGAGUCUUAAUAUGCAACUCAUAACCUAACAACUAAAUUGCACGGCAUGAGAGAUCAUGCGCAACUAAAUGGCACAUUAAGAGGGAUGAUGUGUGAUUCACAGGAAAAAAAACUCAAUUAUACGUCAAAUGUCUUAAUGUGCAACUCACCCUUAAAUGAACUCAAGAAAUAUGACGUGAAACUCAGCGAGGAAACUCAAUUGCACAUCAAAGGUCUAAAUAUACAACUCACCCUUAAAAAAACUCAAUUUCGCAGCAAGAGAGUUCAUGUGUCCAAAAAACCCAAUUACACGUCAAAGGUAUUAAUGUGCAACCCACCUUUCAAAAAAUCUCAAUUGCACAUCAAUAUGAGACAUGGUACAAAAAUAAAAAUUAAUAAUAAUCAGUUACUAGAAAACUAUUAAUGAAUAAGUGAAAACAAUUAUGGGCACAAAUGUACCGAUUAUUAUCAACAAAUACAUGUACAAUUGACACUGACGCAUAGCAUGUAAAAAGAACUCCCAUAGAGCAUAUGUAUAGUAAAAAAACAAGGGAAAAACAAUCAUAUGAGGCCAGCACAGCUGAAGCCUUGAUCGUAAAAAGAAAUAAAACCAAAGAAGAAGCAAAGUAUAAAUAAGAAAUAGAACAAAAAAACAAAAAGAAAAAAGAAGGCAGGCUAGUGAUCGAACUUGCUACCUCUAGCUCGUUUAUUUACAAUUGUCAAUGUAUAUAUUGAGAAGCUCAUUGUAUCUGCUAAACAGUUGCACGAAUCUCGAAUCUCGAUGUACGAUUGGACAAUUCACAACAUCGACCGAGAAAUAAGAAUUUCUCCGGCGACUGAGCAAUAGCAAAUAUACACUUUCCAUGCAAUUUAUAGUAUUCGUUUCAUUAUUUCCCUACUUUGUACAUUCAUCAAUGCCUUGAAAAGAAUGAGCGUACAAAUUCUUUUUGAUGAACUAAUACGAUGGCACGUGACGGACUAUUUCUUUAUUCAAAUUUUAAUUAGGGUGAAAUAUGUUGUACGUCCUAAUUUUUUUAAAAUGUGUCAAGCUAGUCCCCAAAC
rnacentral:lncRNA from 1 species